GAUGAACGCUGGCGGCGUGCCUAAUACAUGCAAGUCGAGCGAACAGACGAGGAGCUUGCUCCUCUGACGUUAGCGGCGGACGGGUGAGUAACACGUGGAUAACCUACCUAUAAGACUGGGAUAACUUCGGGAAACCGGAGCUAAUACCGGAUAACAUGUUGAACCGCAUGGUUCAACAGUGAAAGACGGUCUUGCUGUCACUUAUAGAUGGAUCCGCGCCGCAUUAGCUAGUUGGUAAGGUAACGGCUUACCAAGGCAACGAUGCGUAGCCGACCUGAGAGGGUGAUCGGCCACACUGGAACUGAGACACGGUCCAGACUCCUACGGGAGGCAGCAGUAGGGAAUCUUCCGCAAUGGGCGAAAGCCUGACGGAGCAACGCCGCGUGAGUGAAGAAGGUCCUCGGAUCGUAAAACUCUGUUAUUAGGGAAGAACAAAUGUGUAAGUAACUAUGCACGUCCUGACGGUACCUAAUCAGAAAGCCACGGCUAACUACGUG
rnacentral:rRNA from 1 species